rnacentral:rRNA from 1 species
CCUACGGGGGGCAGCAGUGAGGAAUAUUGGUCAAUGGCCGGAAGGCUGAACCAGCCAAGCCGCGUGAAGGACGAAGGUGCCAAGCAUUGUAAACUUCUUUUGUCAAGGGACAAAAUCAGGCUCGAGAGCCUGACCGAGGGUACUUGAAGAAAAAGCAUCGGCUAACUCCGUGCCAGCAGCCGCGGUAAUACGGAGGAUGCGAGCGUUAUCCGGAUUUAUUGGGUUUAAAGGGUGCGUAGGCGGGCUGUUAAGUCAGCGGUAAAAGCCCGGGGCUCAACCCCGGCGAGCCGUUGAAACUGGGUGGCUUGAGAUGUCGAGAGGUAUGCGGAAUGCGCAGUGUAGCGGUGAAAUGCUUAGAUAUUGCGCAGAACUCCGAUUGCGAAGGCAGCAUACCGGCGGCGAUCUGACGCUGAGGCACGAAAGCGUGGGUAUCGAACAGGAUUAGAUACCCCAGUAGUC